CACCUCCUCCACAACAGUUAGCGUGUCCCUUUUUUUCUCCCCACGUCGCAUCGCCUAUAUCCUUAUACAACCUAUAACUACAACGAAAUAGAAGACUGAUGAUUCAGAGAUCCAUGUCCUCUAACCGGCGCCGAUUCCACAAUAUCUUCCUUAGACUUCAUCUUCAUCUUAGUUGAUUUCUAUGCUCCAUGGUGUGCGUCAAUCACCUAAGGCUCCGAAGAAUAGUGGAAGGCGAGUGAAACUAUGUAGAAAACGGAGAAGUUAGUGAAUUUGUUGUUUAAGAAGAGGCAGGGGCAGUUUAGAAUCGGUGGAGCAGUCUCUGAAGAAGGAUGUGCAUAGGUUCGUAAAUGGUUGCAAGUUGGUUCGGACUGGGGAGAAUCUUCAAGCGGCGGAUGAAGGUACCGCCUGCCUUGAACCAGUCCGCCAUUCAACGGGAGCAUACUCAUAUCCUUUCUCAGUCCAUAAUGAAAGGAAAGGUGCGAAGAUUGGAUUCACCUCCUCACACCAUUCGAUAUGAAAGCUCUCUAGAUUAACGGAAAAGACACAACUCCAAGGUGAAACCCCAUCAGAUGUAUUCUUCCCUCAGUUGGAGAGUUGGUUAGUAUCAUCUGAAUACUUUCUGUUAGAGUUAAUUCAUAUAAUAAAUUAUUGCACUAGUGAAAUAUGUAGGAAAUAACCAUCCUUUAUAUAGUUAGUUAGUUGGGUAGCCACUGAUAUCAAUACUCUUACGGUAUUUGGGUUUAAUGAAUGCACUUCAUGGGCAUUCAGAGGUUUCACAUGAAAAUGUUCACGUUCCAGCUAAGAAUAUAUCUUGAUGGAAGGUCGUGGCCUUGAGAUUGCACAGGGUAGGUUGGAUCCCGGGAGGUUGCAUCACUGCAUGAGAUUAAUUGGUGCAGUAAAACAUGGGAUGCAAUUAGUGGUUCAGAGGUCUCUUCGAAGAAGAACAUUUGGGAAAUUAAUAGCUCUCAUGGUUCCUUUGUUUCUGAUUUAGCCAAGACCAACUUGAUCUGUUUCGAAACAAGAAAGCUCAUGGGGCCCUCGCAAUGGCGAAGGUAAACUUUGAUCCUCCCAUCAAAUUUAACCAUUUGUAUGAUAUUAAUGAAGUUUGGGGGUGAUAAAUCCGGUAAAAAGAAGUUUCAAAGAGAGUAACAGAUUGGCCAUAUGAUAAAAAUUUAGUAAUGAUGGGAGCAUUGGAUCUGAUAUUAUAUUGAGUAUUAUAUGCCUCUAGCUUCCUUUGAACUUGCACAUGCACAUUUGUACGGGAGCAUUGGAUUUGAUAUCAUGAAAUAAGCAUCUGAUGCUAUGUACAAUUAAGGUUUCUUCCAUUACCAAAAAAAGUAUAAAUACUUCUAGAUAUUGCUGCUAAGAUAUAAGUUGUUUUAAUGUAGUGUAUUUACUUUCCUAUGGAUAAAGUGGUUUAUAAGAAGGUUGUGGGGUGUGGCGUUGGCAAGGGGGUCGGUGAGUCCCAUGUGGCAUCAAUGCCGAAGGGGAACACCGCCCCCUUGUGUUCGGGCAAUUCUCCCCGACUGCAUUCUCUCUUUCUCUCUCUCUCUCUCUCUCUCUCUCUCUCUCUCUCUCUCUCUCUCUCUUUCUCUCUCUCUCUCUCUCUUGUAGGUUCUAUUCGGUGAAGAAAAGGCACCCCCCUUGGGAUGGGGAGGAAGAUGGUGUAAGGUGGAGGUGAUGUGGAGGAUGGGGGUGAUCGGUGGGCAAGCAACCACACCCCAUAGCCUAAUUGUACAUUCUUUGAGUCAUUUCAUAAGUUUGUUCAGUUUACUUUCUAAACAACAAUUUUGCAGGCAACUAUGGGCUUAAAUUUCUGCUCUUGAACUUGAGAUCGUCAUUGCAAUGCGGGACCUUGAAUACAAAACACGCAGGCUAAAAGCCGCCUGUGAAAAGAAUAAUGCUUCGGUAAGAAUUAUAAAUUUCGAUUACACUUAAUUCAAGUUAGCUUACUGAAAUUUUUGAACUUUUUUUAGUUUCAUACUAGCAUGUUGCUGAUUUAAGCUAUGCACAACUUAAUGAAGCUACGAAUAUACUUUUCAUGGCUUAAGAAAUUUUGAUUUUCUCUUACUCCAUCGAUCCUAUGAAAUAUCAACUAUUUAUGGGACAAUAGCUUAUGGGAAAUGUUUGAUUACUGGGUAAUUUCUUAGAUGCGGAUCAACAAACAAGAUAAGUGAGCCUUGCAUUUAGAGAUGAUCUGUUUACCUGUUUGACGGGUAAAUAUUUUUUUUAAUCUCAAAUGGGUCAGCUAAAAAAGAGGGUUGGCCACUUACCAUUGUCUUUUUCACUUAAGUAGAAACAUAACCCUUGAUCCAUCUCAAAACAGUUUGGACAAUCCGAAAUCAGCAAAUGAUCAUCCCAACAGAAUAUUAUUUGAUUUCAUGUCCCUGUGUAUAUGUUCAUUUUAUCUACCUCUGUCUAUAUUUGCAUAUUUAUUGUCACAGACACCUGGACUCAAAUUCCUUGAGGGGGACAGUGCCUCAAAAUCUAUCAAAUCUCAAAACUGUCCCUGAGUUGCAAGUGACAACACCAAAUCCAACUAAUUGUUUUUUUACUUAACUAGCAGAGUUGUUUAGUUUCAGGUAUUUAUCAAGCAAUAACCAAAGGGAUAAGACAUUAUGAAUGGUUUACUUGAUAAAAAAAUAGGCUAAUAUGUAAAAGAGAUGAGCUAGAUGCAACUUUUGUUUGUACAUAAAGCUUAUUUGGUUGCACAUAGGGAAACGCCUUGUGUACGUGAAGUUAUCACCUCAUGCAUUGUGUUUCGUCUUCAAGACCUCGCUUCACGUUUUUCUUUUAAGCCAAGGUAUAAAUUUUGUUGAGAGGACUAAACUUUGAGAUGUUUCUUAAUCUAGACUCAGCUACUUGAUUUGCCAUUUAAAUACGAGUCAAAGCAAUAGGGUCAGGUCGACCCGUCAUCUCUUUCUUAUGUUUUAGAGAGCGUCUCUUGCUGUUUGUAUUAAAGAUGUGCUAAAUUGCAAGUUUUUCUCAUUUUUUGCCAA